rnacentral:rRNA from 1 species
UGGUGGAGUGAUUUGUCUGGUUAAUUCCGUUAACGAACGAGACCUCGACCUGCUAAAUAGUUCGACAAAGGAAUUCUUUCCUUUGGUUUACGCGACUUCUUAGAGGGACUAUCGGUGUGUAGCCGACGGAAGUUCGAGGCAAUAACA